GCUGGCGGCGUGCCUAAUACAUGCAAGUCGAGCGACCGGACGAGAAGCUUGCUUCUCUGAUGUUAGCGGCGGACGGGUGAGUAACACGUGGAUAACCUACCUAUAAGACUGGGAUAACUUCGGGAAACCGGAGCUAAUACCGGAUAAUAUUUUGAACCGCAUGGUUCAAAAGUGAAAGACGGUCUUGCUGUCACUUAUAGAUGGAUCCGCGCUGCAUUAGCUAGUUGGUAAGGUAACGGCUUACCAAGGCAACGAUGCAUAGCCGACCUGAGAGGGUGAUCGGCCACACUGGAACUGAGACACGGUCCAGACUCCUACGGGAGGCAGCAGUAGGGAAUCUUCCGCAAUGGGCGAAAGCCUGACGGAGCAACGCCGCGUGAGUGAUGAAGGUCUUCGGAUCGUAAAACUCUGUUAUUAGGGAAGAACAUAUGUGUAAGUAACUGUGCACAUCUUGACGGUACCUAAUCAGAAAGCCACGGCUAACUACGUG
rnacentral:rRNA from 1 species